GUCGAGAAUCUUCCGCAAUGGGCGAAAGCCUGACGGAGCGACGCCGCGUGCAGGAUGAAGGCCUUCGGGUUGUAAACUGCUUUUCUUAGGGAAGAAUUUCUGACGGUACCUGAGGAAUAAGGGACUGCUAACUUCGUGCCAGCAGCAGCGGUAAUACGAAGGUCCCAAGCGUUAUCCGGUGUUAUUAGGCGUAAAGAGUUCGUAGGUGGUUUGCCGCAUCUUUGGUCAAAUUCUGAAGCUCAACUUCAGAACUGCCAAGGAGAUGGGCAGACUAGAGGCAGGAAGAGGCACGUGGAAUGGCUGGUGUAGGAGUAAAAUCCGUUAAUCUCAGCUAGAACACCAAAUGCGAAGGCAGCGUGCUGGAACUGUCCUGACACUAAGGAACGAAAGCGCGGGUAGCGAAUGGGAUUAGAAACCCCUGUAGUCC
rnacentral:rRNA from 1 species